AACCCCCAAUAUCACUUCAUUUCUUGCUCCAACCAUGAAUGAAGCUGAAGGAACACCAUACCUGGAACAGGGUGGUCCACUGAAGAAACUGAAAAAUAAUUCUGGAGAAGUUGUGGCUGCCAAGAACUCUGUGGCCAAACUGUCGGAGGAGCUAUCUGCUUUUGAAUCAUACAUGAAAUUUCUGCAAGUACCAUAUCUUGAAGGGGGCUCAGAUGGAUCUAUUGAGAGCCUUCUCGUUAGUGAUGUGCCUCAGGAUGUGAGUGAAGUGGAUCUCUGGAGCUUUGAUGACCUGCCACCAGUGGCGGUCGGCAGUUACUGAGAACAUUGAUAUUCCGCCAAAUAAUGCUCUGUAAAUAAGAUGCGACCGUAAGUUUGUCACACAUUGCUGCAUAAUGUUCUAUUCUAUCCUUUUCGUACGUCUUGAUUUUCUAUUCUUGAAAGGAUCUCUCUCUCUUCUUUUUUCCCUUUUUCAGGAAUCCAUGCUGAUGGAGAUAUGGAGAACAAGACGUAUGAGCUAUGAUCAUAGGUUGGAACGUUGGUUUAUGCUAUUAUGUUAGAUCUUAUGUAUCGUGUUUAUGCUUGCCUUGUGUGUUUUCUUGUUGAGUGCCAAACUUGGACCUUCUUAGUUAGCUUGUGGUUUUGUCGA
rnacentral:lncRNA from 1 species